UGAAAUAUAUGUGUGUAGAAGCCAGAGGUUAUCAACAUGUUAAUACUUAAGUUUUGUUGGUGAUAUCCUUUAUCCAAGCCAAGUAUAAUUUGUCUGUUCUCUUUGCUCAUAUUCCAUAAAUUAGAGAUUUUGUAGAUCUCUUAUUUUUCUUAUUUGGAACUUUGUUUCAGCUACCAAUGGAAACGGGCUGCCACUGAUGGA
rnacentral:lncRNA from 1 species